AUAUAUCGUCACGUGUCCUGAAGACUUUAAAACGGGGAAGCUCAAUUUUCAGAGGAAGCUUUUUGCAGAUUUUGUGGAACAGUCGAGCAUGGACAUAUUGAAUUCCAUGGGGAUUAUAAAAUAGUGCGAGACAUCAGACUGGCAGCUGUAGAAUUAUUAUGUUCAGGAAAUGCUAUAUUUUUACACGGGAUCUUCAAGAGGUUUUUUUUUUUUUACUUGGAUAAUAGACAUCCAUGUUCAGUACAAACGAGCUUGAUUUAAAUUUAAAUGUCAUGUGUGACAUUUUUGUGGGAAAAAUUGGGAAGCUUUACAUAUUUUUGGCAAGAAUAUGGGAAUUGAAGGGUUAACUUGAAAAAGGAGAGCAAACAUGCAAGAACAUACGUCUAUUGUGGCCCCAAAGGAAGCUUUGUAUGUGUGUGUGCACGUGCAUGUGCAAGAUUUAUGCUCAGCAGGUCUGACAGUUUCUUUCAGCUUGCCCACUUAUUUGCAUGUGUGUGUUAUUUGUACAGCAACUGCAUAGUUGGCUGGCCAACAACCUGCAGUGUCGUUUUUCACUAAAUCGGAUAAAUGCAUCUCGUAUCAUUUUGCCGGCAAGUUGGCUACUUGUGCCAUUCUUAGCAAGAAAAAAAGGUGCCUACCAUAAAAAUAGAAUCAUUUUGCACCCACCUUAAUUUGGUACAAACAAAAUAGCACUAAGACAUGCUACACUUUCUAGUUAUAUGCUAUUUCAACUGCAUGGCAACACUGUGACAAAUAUAGUGUAAUGCAGCAGUUUUGGAUGUUGCAGCCAAAAUCUUAAUGGCACUUUACAGUGGUCUCAAAACAGUUGCAGUGCUACCAAGAAUGUGGCUAAGCAUAGUGGUACUUGUAGCAUAAGCUUUAAAAGAGUACAUGGGUGGAACACUUGCAUGGGCUGUAAUGUUGCAGAUAAGUGUAGCCUUUCAGCUGCGGCACACUGGCUGAUUAGAAUAAAUGUUUAGAAAAGUGGGCAAGCUUGUAUAACUUCGUAAAGAAGUGGAAAUGGAACUGCUGUAGGCAGUCUUCUUUGGACGUUUAUGCUAUUCACGAAAUUGUUAUAUUUUGAAGCAAUCCAUUUUGUUUUCCAUUCUUUUCUUAUCCAUGACACUGAAUGACAAAUGCCGGUGAUAACAGUGGCACAGCUCCGAGCCAGCCAUGAAUGGCAGAAUGAAUGGAAAAUAAAAUGAGAUAUGGCAUUUGCCUCCUUCUCCCAAAAUUUCAUUGUGCAUGGAUACAUGUUCUUUAGCACAUGCAGUUGACUUAUGUUUACAUUCACUUAUUUGUCCUGUUGGCUAAGUUGUGUUCAAAAAGCAUAGAACUUGCCUGAUCUUUUUGGAAGAAAAAGCCAAUUAUUUCAGGUAACUGUGUUCGAAGUAGACACUCAGUGACAAGUAUGAGCACUAACCAUCAUACUAACAAUACAAAUGUGCCACCUGUCAUGUGCAUGAAAUGAAGCAACAUGAGUAAACCACGGAGAAAUACAUUGCAGCACAAUGGAAAGGGAUUCAGGAUGUGGAGCUGCAAGAACAUCCCAUACAAGUGUGUGAAGCAGAAAGAUAUGCAAGCUGGCAGUGGUGACAGGAGCUGGCGUGCACAUUAACCAAUUUAGAACCACUGGUAGCAUCUGCAUGAUUGUGGCAGUCUAAGCUGGUGUAGUGGUAGCAUGACAGACCUCCAUUUAUUUUCACAUACGAGGCAAUGCAGGCCACGUUUUUCUGUGUGUAUAUUGGUGCUCUUGUGCUGUUGUCUGCACAGUGGCCCCUUCAACAUGCAAGUACAAACUACCAUCACAAGGUAUUUCAAUUAAAUGAGUAACUCGGUGCAAAAUUGACCUUUCUAAUAUUAAUAUGAACUAAUCAUGCACAUCUCGAUGAGGCAGUAGUCGGCUAAACAGUGUUGGAGCCAUAAUAAAAGUCUACGUAGUGUAGAGAAGUCUGUGGAGGAAAAGGGAAGCACAUUUGCUAGAAGAUUAGCUUCUUAGCAAUCUGACAAGCUGGUUUUGCCCAACUUUAGUCUUGUGCCUAAUGUGUGUUGCCUUCAAUGUAUUGUUGUAAGGCCAUUCGUAUUGCGGUGUACGGUAUACUUUUCAGAAGACAACUAGGAUUGUUUAAUUCAAUCAAGACUUCAACCCUGUGACAAGGUUGACAGUAGUGGUGCCAUAACCAGUGGAUGUAAAUGAAGGGGCACAAUGCCACCACUGUGUUCUGGUUCAAUGUUUUUCACGCUUUAUUGAACCAGUGUCGCAUCUAGGAGUGUAGUACUUUUGCGCAAGAGACUAUGUACAGUACACAUCAAAAGUCUUCAUGAAGUGCUUUUCAUUGCAAUAAACUGCGUGGCAUCAUGUGCCUAGUAUGCC
rnacentral:lncRNA from 1 species